rnacentral:tRNA from 1 species
GAGGGUACAGCUCAGUGUUAGAGCGCUUGCUUAGUAUGCACAAGGUCCUGGGUGAAGUCCCCAGUACCUCCA